UGGAGUAGAUUCUUGCUUCUGGAGAACUCU
rnacentral:piRNA from 1 species